UACAGUGGGUUCGGACGACGACGAAGUCAAGCAGCCCCUGUAAUUCUUACAGUUGCCAUCUUACAAAGCUUUAUUACAGACUUUUAGCAUCGUGUCUACGCUACAAAAGAGCGACGCGACGCUACAAAACUUCAACCAAACCAUUAUAAUAUUAGUUGAUUAUAACGGUCGCUUUCUAUUUUUGUCGCGUCGCGUGAGAUAAUUACGUAAUUACGCACUUGUGGCGGUUCCCAGCAGCUUAUACAAAUGCUUUGUACGCUUAUUUGCUUCGACCAACAACUUUAAAUCACGUGAGAACGGGUUUUCGUGAAGUUCAAGAGAUGAUAAAGUUAGAAGCCGGAGAACAUGACAAGAAUCAGUCGAAGUGGAGAUGACAUCCUUUCUGGACAUUUACACAUUUUCUCACAAGGCAUUUGUGCUGUCAGCGCUGGAGGAAAAAGUCACGGACAUCUGCGAAGAGGUUUGCAAAAGAAAGUUCAUCAGACGGAUCUUUCUUAGAAAUACAGACAUUCUGCUUGUAACUUAGGCUGGCACCAAGUCUGAUGACUUUUCCCAGAAGAUUCAGUGAAGACAUAGAGAGAGGGGGCAGAAAGAGAGCCUUCUUGUCCAAUAAGAGGAAAGGGGACUGAAGAAUGUGAAAAGCUCCCAUUCAGGCCGGUUCACAGGGGCUGGGAGCGGCCACAUCCUCAAGAGGGAGGAGGGGUUGCUGCUUUCAAGAGGGUGGGCUAGGGAUCCUGGACAGGGGCCAGAAGCGAUGCAGAGGCUCCUCGGAUGACGCUGGUCCGUGGGAGCGUCCAGUGCCUCCGUCUCUCCUCUGUCCCUAAGGACAUUGACUCUGGACCCCUUGCAUUCUAUUUACUCGCACAAACAAGCUCUCCCCACAGUCCUUCUACCCUCAGAGCCAAACCAGCCGGUAGGCUGCAGGGUGAGGAAUGUGUCUCUAUUAAUAGAGCGGAUAGAUUAUCUCAAAGACUAAUGACUGGCAUGUCCAGAUUCCUGAAAGGCACGGCAGUGACGUACUUUCAUCCACCGGUCUUCAUUCAUUGGCAAUGAUCUCAUUUCCUCCGAUAUUCUAUAAAUUUAACUUGUGCUUCUCUUUUUAAAACAGUUCAAAUUCUAGUUGCACAGCUUUAUCGUCACUCAUUAUGGUUAAUGAAAACAUUUAUAUUUAACAUAGAGCUGGACGAUUAUUUGAAAAGUCAUCGAAAACCUCUAGUUGACGUAACUUUCCCAUGCCGGUUAUUUUGGGGUUUUGAAUCCUGUUACUACUUUCCCAUUAAAAACAUACUACCGUGAAGUUAGUGUUGUACUGACAUGUAUGACCAUUGCUCUCGCGUCUUUUCCAGUGUCUUGCAUGUGAGCGCAGAGUUUAAGAUGUCAUGUCAAGUUAACAGAAUUUAAACUUUAACAUGCAGCAUCACUCAAUGUCAGUUCCAAAACAGUGGACCAAUCAGAAGACGGAGGUAGGGCAAGUGUUGCAAGCUUUAAGUUUACAGUAGCAGGUUGACAUGGCGGAGUAAGCAUUCUGUGCUGCGCUUUUUUUUUUUUGUUCUGUGUGAAUGGCCAGUAAGAAGCUAGCAGAAAUACUACAACGCUAUCUCAUAACCAAUUUGUAUGUAUUUUAUGAGGUGGCUAAUUCAUACGAAUACGUACCACCUCACUUGUACGGUUUUGUACGAUUUGUCUAGACCCCAGUAAUGGGUAGGUUUAGGGGCGGGGUUAGGGGUAGCUCAUUCGUACGAAUUCAUACAAAAUGUAAAAUACGUAUGAUGUGAGGUCAUAUGAAUUCGUACGAAUUAGCCACUUUGUAAAAUAUGUACGAAUUGCCAUGGGAUUGGGUUGGGCAUAUCGUGACAGGACUAAAUCGCUGAGAGGAAGAUCGCAUGCAACAGCAAUGAUGACUCAGAUUCACAUCUAUAACUAUGAGAGCAAAAUAAUAAUAAUACAAUUUUAAAAAUUAAAAUAAUUGGUUAUUAAUCAUAAUCGAGGUAAAAUAUUCAAUUAAUCAAGGUUUUGAUUUUGGGUCAUAUCGCCCAGCCCUAAAUUAAUGUUUAUUCAGUUAGCAGACGUUUUUAAGCGACUUAGGAAAUAAAAAGCAAGCAAUAAAGAAAAUUAAAACAACUUCAGUAAAAAUAAAAUCUCAUAUAAAUGGGAAAAUAUAAAAUGAUGACUAAUUAAUUUUAGUUUUUAUAUAUGUGUAUUAUAUGACAUUAAAACAAAUAAUAACAAUGCAUGAGAUGGUGCUAAAAUAUUUUAACAAUGUUUGUAUUUUUUUUUAUUUAUUUAUUUUUAAUUAUACCAGUUAGCACAUUUACUUGUGGUACCCCUAAAAAAAAAAAAAAUCAAACUAUAACUAAAAAGGUAAACUCAAAACUAAAAAACUAAAAUAACUAAAUUACUCAUUAACUAAUUAACUCAAAUAAAAUGAACUAAAAUGAACUCAAAUAAAAUACAUUGGAGGGAAAAAAAGUAUAUAUUUCAGUAAUAUAAUAAUAUUCUGCUUAACCACACUUGUAUUUGCAUUGAUUGUAAUGUGACAUUUAGGUAUUCUUGGGUCAAGAAAUUUUUUCCAAUCCAAACCAUGGCCAGAUCUCUCCAUCUUGGGAACUUGGGAACCCAUAUGAGCUUCAGGGAGUGUAAACAUCCUACACUCUCAGCUGGAGCCCAGCCCGAGGCCGGGAGUGGGAUGUUUGCGCUCUAUGGCUCAGGAACUCCACGCUCACUAUGGCGGGGAAAAAGCAUAUACAGAAAAAGUCGUCUAAAUAAUUUAAUCAUCUAUUGAGUCACAGUAGACCUGAAAUUACACCUGACCACUCGGUGGGAAUACACACUGGAACUGCAAUCACUGGAGUAGGUAGCAAUCACCUAAUUUUAGGAUCUAUCUAUCUAUCUAUCUACUGCUAUAGUGUCUAUCUUUCCAUAUGUUCUUUUAAACUAUUUUUUAAACUGUCCAGUCAACAUCUUUAGCAGUUGUAUACAUUUGUAAAAGAUGCACGGCCCUGUUUAUUAUAAAUGUCUAUUCACUGUAUAGUUUAUGUAAAGUAUGUUAAAAAGCUCAGGAUAAAAGAAGACGUCUACUUCCUGACUAGAUCGAAGUGAACAGAUUUUGAAGUGGAUACGAGAGCUUUGUAACGCACACAGGAAGUGAACUCCAUUGUGAGCACUGGAAGGGCUCUGAGGGUGAGUGGCCUGUCAUUAAGCUGUUCAGGCUGAACUCUAGGUCUCUUUGAAGCUUUCUGACCCCACAGGGUGGGACAGUUCUGUUCAACUGCAUGCACCCCCCACCCAGACAGAGCUGCCGAUGGAAUUGCCUGAGAGGAAGUGACUAUUUAUACCCACUAAGGAACAGAGAGAGGCACCCUUCCGAUGGGCGUCUCUCCUCUUGUUUCCUUUGACAAAUAUGUUAGCACUGCUCUCAUGAAAAGUAAGCCCAACUCCACAGAGAUAUGCACAACAUCCAGUGCUCUCAAUGGUAUUUGUGUACACGCCUAACCGUUUUUUUGGUUACCAUUCUCUCCUACUGCAGUGACCUUUACCCACUUUUGCUUGGUGAUGUCAUAGCUUAAGCAUCUCUUAUAUGCAGCCACUAGGUGGCAGACUAACUCCAGAAAAUUGCUACAAGGUUUCAGACUUUGCUUGGAAAGGAAGUAUACAAAAAUGCUUCUGUUGAUUGGCCAUCUUUUUGAAAAAAAAAGUAAAAUUAUCCACUACAAAUCUUGUAAACAUCUUCUACUAACGACACCAAACCAGAAAGUCUUUAUUGUUUAUUUUACUCGUAUUACAUACACUGCCAUUCAAAAGGUUGGGAUCAGUAAGAUUUUUAAUGCUUUUUAAAGCUCUUAUGCUCAUCAAAGUUCCGUUUAUGUGAUCAAAAAAAAAGAAAAAAGUAAUAUGAAAUAUUGCUAUUCAAAAUAAAAAAAAAUAUAUAUUUAUUUCUGUGAUGCCAAGCUGAAAUUUCAUCAGCCUUUACUCUAGUGUUGAGUGUCAUGAUCCUUCAGAAAUUAUUCUAAUAUGCUAAUUUAUUACUAAUGCUGGAAACAGUUGUGCUGCUUAAUUUGUUUUUUGUUUUUUUUUGGAACCUGUGAUACUUUUUCAGGAUUCUUUGAUGAAUAAAAGGUUCAAAAGAACAGCAUUUAUUGAAAAUAUACAUCUUUUCUAACAAUAUAAGUCUUUACUAUCACUUUUUUUAUCAAUUUAACACAUCCUUGCUGAAUAAAAGUUUUAAUUUCUUUCGAACAAAGAAAGAAGGAAAAAAUUUACUGACCCCAAACUUUGAACGUUAGUGUAUAUUGUUACAAAAUAUUUCUAUUUUAAAUAAAUAAAAAGAAUAAAUUCUUUUUAACAUUUUAUUCAUCAAAGAAUCCUGACAAAAGUAUCACAGGUUCCAUAAAAAAUAUUAAGCAGCACAACUGUUUGCAACAUUAAUAAUAAAUCAGCAUAUUAUAAUGAUUCCUAGCUGGUUCGUCAUCAUCCGCAGGAAUAAAUUCUAUUUUAAAAUAUAUUAAAAUAGAAAACCACUGUUUUAAAUUGCAAUAAUAUUUCACAAUAUUACUGUUUUUUUUUCUGUAUUUUUAAUCAAAUAAAUGCAGCCUUGAUAAGCAGAAAACUCUUUUUUUAAAAACAUUAAAAAUCUUACUAAUCCCAAAUUUUUGAAUGGCAAUGUUUAAAUUAUUCUGCUUGUCACACUAAUUUUUGUUUUAUUUAAAAAUAAAAAAUAAAAAUCUCUCAUUAAUUGUGACUCUUUUGAACUGCUAAAAUAUAUAAAUACUUAGCAAAUUUUCUUGCACCAUUUUUACACCUUUCCAAGCAAUCACUGUUGUACUUUUCCUAAAACCAAAGAAAAAAUUUUUUUAGUAAUGUUCUGACCUCAUUCACCACAGAGUGCAUUUCUAGUCAUACUGAGUGGGAAAAAACAGCAUGAAAUGUUAAAAUCAACUGACAGCCUCUGAUCAAGCUUUUCCUGUCAACUGGAGGAGUCGAAACUACUGAAGUAUGACAACAAAGGCAUCAUUUAUUAUUAGUUUCACUUUUUCUCUUACUGCCGUACUCUUUGAACUGACUCAGCUAAUUCUUCUUAUGAUGCCGGAGCUCUUUUCAUCUAACUGCAAGAGCUACUGAAUUUACACCCACUUCUUUUCAAAUGUUUCAAACAAUAAUCUCACCCCACAGGUGGCACAGCAACAGGAAGGUGAAACAAGAAGUUGGUAUGUAUGUAUGUUAUGUGUAGAGUAAAAACAACAUCAUCAUAGUAAACAAUGCAUUGUCUGCAAUAAACACAUCAGGAGAAAUGCUGUGAAUGUUGUUCCUCGUUUGUUUGUUUAAUAAACCAUAUGCAACUGACA